rnacentral:tRNA from 2 species
CGGGGCGUAGCGCAGCCUGGCUAGCGUACCUGCUUUGGGAGCAGGGGGUCGGAGGUUCAAAUCCUCUCGCCCCGACCA